UACGAGUAUACCAUGGUUACC
rnacentral:miRNA from 1 species